rnacentral:misc_RNA from 1 species
GAUGAAGAACGUAGCGAAAUGCGAUAAGUAAUGUGAAUUGCAGAAUUCAGUGAAUCAUCGAGUCUUUGAACGCACAUUGCGCCCCCUGGUAUUCCGGGGGGCAUGCCUGUCCGAGCGUCAUUGCCGCCCUCAAGCACGGCUUGUGUGUUGGGCCCCCGCCCCCCGGCUUCGGGGGGCGGGCCCGAAAGGCAGCGGCGGCACCGCGUCCGGUCCUCGAGCGUAUGGGGCUUCGUCACCCGCUCUGUAGGCCCGGCCGGCGCCCGCCGGCGACCCCAAUCAAUCUUUCCAGGUUGACCUCGGAUCAGGUAGGGAUACCCGCUGAACUUAAGCAUAUCAAUAAGCGGGAGGA